rnacentral:rRNA from 1 species
UUAGAGUUUGAUUUCCCCUGGCUCAGAUUGAACGCUGGCGGCAUGCUUUACACAUGCAAGUCGAACGGUAACAGGCCGCAAGGUGCUGACGAGUGGCGAACGGGUGAGUAAUGCAUCGGAACGUGCCCAGUCGUGGGGGAUAACGCAGCGAAAGCUGCGCUAAUACCGCAUACGAUCUAUGGAUGAAAGCGGGGGACCGUAAGGCCUCGCGCGAUUGGAGCGGCCGAUGUCAGAUUAGGUAGUUGGUGGGGUAAAGGCUCACCAAGCCGACGAUCUGUAGCUGGUCUGAGAGGACGACCAGCCACACUGGGACUGAGACACGGCCCAGACUCCUACGGGAGGCAGCAGUGGGGAAUUUUGGACAAUGGGCGCAAGCCUGAUCCAGCAAUGCCGCGUGCAGGAAGAAGGCCUUCGGGUUGUAAACUGCUUUUGUACGGAACGAAACGGCCCUGGUUAAUAUCCCGGGGCUAAAGACGUACCNAAGAUAAGCNCCGGC